rnacentral:rRNA from 1 species
GAUGAACGCUGGCGGCGUGCCUAAUACAUGCAAGUCGAGCGAACAGACGAGGAGCUUGCUCCUCUGACGUUAGCGGCUGACGGGCGAGUAACACGUGGAUAACAUACCUAUUUUACUGGGAUAACUUCGGGAAACCGGUGCUAAUACCGCAUAAUACAUUCAACGGCAUGAUUCAAUAGUGAUAGACGGCUUUCCUGUCUCUUAUAGAUGGUUCCGCGCCGCAUUAGCUAGUUGGUAAGGUAACGGCUCACCAAGGCAACGAUGCGUAGCCGACCUGAGAGGGUGAUCGGCCGCACUGGAACUGAGACACGGUCCAGACUCCUACGGGAGGCAGCAGUAGGGAAUAUUGGGCAAUGGGCGAAAGCCUGACGGAGCAACGCCGCGUGAGUGAUGAAGGUCUUCGGGUCGUAAAGCCCUGUUAUUAGGAAAGAAAAAAAGUGUAAGUAAAUAUGCAUGUCUUGACGGUACCUAAUCAGAAAGCCCCGGCUAACUACGUG